CGACGGAGGGGCGGGGGCGACGGAGGGGCGGGGCCUCCUCUUGGAGGUGGAAGGAUUUUCCAGCCAGACGGAGGUGCUGAUCGCAUGCACGCGCUAAACGCCAUUCAGCGCUCCCUUCAAAACGGUUAAUCUGCUGUUUGGAUUUCACCACAGCAAAUAAAUAAGUUCGGUAUUUUUACAAAGUAAAGAGAGACGGGGGUGCUCCCAGAGGGACCGCGGGGACAAACCACAGGACGGCUGGCAUUGUGGUUCCAAACCAGAAACAGCCUAUCUCAUCCUGAGAUGCGGCAGAGACACAAGCAGCGAGGACUGGACGCCGCCGCAGUGCAUCGCGGCCCAGACGCCACGUGGUCGUGAAAAAGAGCAAAGAUGGCUCCGUCCUGGUUCCUCUUCCAGCUGCAAAAGGGAUGCUCUGAUGCCAGCCGCUCCCCUGCCCCAGGGGAGUCCAUGGGCGGACUCCUCCUCCGAGCACCUGCUCCAGGGGACAGUGACAGCAGCCUGGGGACAGACACUGCCUAGGACCCCAAAGGCAAGAUGUCUUCACUACCGGACGGUCCAGGCUCACCCCCCCGACCCCCAGACCCCUGACCCCCGACAGCUGCGGGCCCCAUGGGGCGAGGUCGGGGUGCAGAGGCGCACGCCCAGCUCCUCUCCUCGAUUUGCCAACAGGCUGUUGGCACAGCCUCCGAAACCUGACUCACAGAUGGCAGAGCUGCCUCUGGGCACCACUGGGGACCCGUGGGAGAAGGAGGGGGCAGUCCCGGUGUUGGGAGAGUGUUUGGUUUUUGUCUUAUUUUGCUUCAACACACGAAUGUCACCCAA